rnacentral:rRNA from 1 species
AUAGCUGGUUACUUGAUAAAAGAAUUUUAGUUCUACCUAAAGCCCUAAUAAAGUCUAAUAAACUAAUAUUUAUGCUUUAGAGUUAUUCAAUUAAGGUACAGCCUAUUUGAAUAAGGAAACAACCUAAACUAAUGGGUUAAAUUUUUACAGUGUACCAAAGUGGGCCUAAAAGCAGCCACCUUAUACAAUAGCGUCAAAGCUUUUCUACACAAGUAUAUUCAAUUUCACAGCCCAACCCAAACCCUUUAUUUUCAUCAAGAAAUUCUAUACACCUAUAGAAUAUAAAAUGUUAAAACUAGUAACAAGAAGUAACCCCUUCUCUUAAAUGUAAGUGUAAGCCAGAAAGGAUAAACCACUGUCAAUUAACACUAAUGAUUUUUAAUUAGCAACACCACAAGAAAACCCUAAUAAAACAAGUGUUAAACUAACACAAGAACAUUUCAAGAAAGAUUAAAAGAAAAAGAAGGAACUCGGCAAAUACUAACCCCGCCUGUUUACCAAAAACAUCGCCUCUUGAUAAAUAUAAGAGGUCCAGCCUGCCCAGUGACUUAGUUCAACGGCCGCGGUAUCCUAACCGUGCGAAGGUAGCGUAAUCACUUGUUCUUUAAAUGAGGACUAGUAUGAAUGGCAUCACGAGGGUUGCACUGUCUCCUUUUUUUAAUCAGUGAAACUAAUCUUCCCGUGAAGAAGCGGGAAUAUUAUUAUAAGACGAGAAGACCCUAUGGAGCUUUAAACAAAUUAACACUUGCUGCCUAAGAUAACUUUUUCAGAAACACAACACACAGCAUAGCAUGAUGAUUAAUAGUUUUCGAUUGGGGUGAUCACGGAGUAAAAAAUAACCUCCAUGCCGAAAGGGCUCUUCCCUGAGCAAAAAGCCACAACUUUAAGCACUAAAAAAUUAACGUUUAUUGACCCAAUACUUUGAUCAACGAACCAAGUUACCCUAGGGAUAACAGCGCAAUCCACUUCAAGAGCUCCUAUCGACAAGUGGGUUUACGACCUCGAUGUUGGAUCAGGGUAUCCCAGUGGUGCAGCCGCUACUAACGGUUCGUUUGUUCAACGAUUAAAACCCU